UUUUAAGUAAAAAUUAAAUAGGUUCUGUUUUAGUGGGAAUAUUUAAAUAGGUGUUACUUUGUUUCAGCAAAAAAUUAAUUGUCGAUAAAUUUUUUUAUGUGUGUUGUUUUGAAAAGUGGUUAGGCUCUGGGUUUGUAGUGUGGAGCAGACAUUAAGAAGAAUGUGUUGAAGAUGUGUGAAGGUGUUUGCAUUGCGAAAUAGCCAAAUAUUGGAUAAUGUGUAUUGUUAAUGUAAUGGAAGUUUAUUCAUUUUGUGUGUCCAAGACGCAAGCGAAUCAGUUUUAUUUCGUCCAGUUUGCCUAUAGAAGAUCUUUGAAAGAAAAUCACAGAUGUAGCUGUGCUAUCGAAAACUCUUAAGGUUUAUUGUGAAAUACUCUGCUCUGGUGAAACACACAGAAACCGCUAAUGCGGCGAUAAGUUAAGGUUAGUUAGCUGUGGAUGUGGCCACAAUGGCAAUGUAUGCCAAGAAAUAAGAAAACAAAAACAAAAAUGAUUUAUCAUAAUGGUAGACGGCGGCCUGGGGGCUUCCAACGGCGUUGCCUUAAACGGCCGAUAACAACAACAACAACAACAAUGACGCGACGUCGUGACGCGACUGGACCGUAAUGUCAACUCUUCAUAUAAAAAUUAACAAAAAUAUAAAUUUGAAAAAAAAUAAAAACGAGAUUCAAAACCAGAAA